rnacentral:lncRNA from 10 species
GUGCAUUGAUCAGACAUAUUUUUUCAGAAGUGUGACAUGGACAAACUAAAGGGCAAAACUGAAGAAAAAAGACCUUUGGCAUCAGGAUGACUAGAGCUCAGAUCUCUACUCAAACAUCAAUUUGCUGAAACAAGCUGUUCAAAUAUUUCAGAUCUUCAUUGCCUUAUCUAUAAAAUAUGAAAAAUAAUAAUUCUACUUUCUAAAGGUGUUUAGACAAGUGCCUGUCACAUACAUCAAGAAUGAGAUAUGGUCAUCAAAACUGUGAAUCACAAAGAAAUCAAAGAUAAGUUAAAUUGCAUUGUAAUUUUUUUACAAAUAAAUGUUACUUAAAAUGUCAUUAAAAUUCUCUUUUUCAUAUGGAAUUUCU